GCUCUCUCACUCCCUCUCUCCCUCUCUCGUCGUCGAUUUCCACUGCUGCCACUGCUGCUAUAGUCACUACCGCGUGCCAGCCGCUCCCACUCUGCUCUUCUUCACCUGACCACCGCUGUCGAUCCCCGUCGCCGUGCCUCCCUCGCUCUGUUCGACUUCACCCUGCCGCCAUUGCCGAUCCCCAUCGCCAUGCCAUCCCCACCACCAGCAUCGAUCCUCUACUACAUCUCUCCCUUCCUCCCCCUCGGUUUAAAGCUGAUAGCUGUUCCGUGAGACUGAAGCAUGCCACCAUAAGGUCGGUCAUGCAGGGGGGCCCAUAUGGAGAUGUCGGUACAUCUCCAUCUCAAUGGCGGUCACAUCAUCUUGAGGCAGGCACAUCAUCUCCUGCCAUGACAGGAGGACCAUCCGACAAGAGGGACCCAUACGGAGAUGUUGGUAUCUCUUCAUCUCGAUAGCUAUCCACUGAGCUGAUAUUGUCAUUAGGCGGACUCAUGGAGCCAUUAGAAAUAAGUAGUUGGAGGAGUGGAGGAGGGCACAUCCCGAGGAGAGGAUGAGGGUUGUCAUCCCAUCAGAAUAUGAUCUACCACUUCAGUGCCAUAUCAGGGAUCCAUACAUAUAUGAGGUUGAUAUUAUUGUCCGAGCGAAUGCUCCCUUGACUAUAUUCGACUGGCGGAGAGUAAUGAAGCCACAAAAGCAGAUCCUCCUCGACCAUUUAUAGCGCGACUUUGACAAGGAGAUUGAUACCCAACGUGUGCAGGAGGCUAUCUUUAGGCAUAUGGAGAGGUUGCUUAAGGGGUUCAGAUAUAAGCUCUAUAGCCACUGGAAGGAGGUCUUCAAUGCACAUGGGGUGGCGGCGGCAUGUGAGACACCCCACAAGAAUAUUUCACGCUCUGACUGGAAACUCCUAUGCAAUAAGUAUGAGGACCCUGCAUAUCGAAUAUAACUAUUAUAUAUAAUAAAAAUAUGAAUUAUUGAAUUGAUGAGGCAUUGUAAUAUGUUCACUUAUAUCUUGAAAGCAUUUGUGUAUUAGGCCUUUUGUGAAAAGAAUAUAGAAAACCAAUCGAGGCUCAUGGUGAUACAUUAUGGCAGAUCGAAA